CUUCACCCGCUCGGCCCUUUUCUAUUGUACUAAAAUUCCCGGUGCCGCUGCUGCAGCGCUUCUUUCCGAAAUGCCACGAUCAGCAGGCAUCUUCCUAGAAAGCUAAGCUGUUGGAGGGAAAGCGAAUGAUGGAAGCAUAAUUUCAAACAGAAUGUGAUCUUUCACUUGCUCAACCACUAUGGCUUUAGCACUAGUCUAUGAGAAAGCAGCCAUUUCUCUGCUUUGAAAGUGAUCGUGCAUGGCGGGGAAACAGACAACACUUGGCUCCUAUACCUGAAGUCUCUAAAGUGCUUUCUUGACUGCUCUCCCUCCCCUGAGAAAAAUUAGAUUUAAGAGAAGUAGAAAAACUAGAAGAACAGAGGAUGAGUUUCACUGUGGAGCUUAUAGAUGAAGAGGCUGGAGAGGCAACGGUGAGAGAGCAACGGAUAUAUAUUUUAAAAUCAUGACACUGGCAAAGUGAAAAAUGAUAUUAAGCUUUAAGGUAUUUUACUUUGGUACGAUGGUGAUGAGGAACUAGGUGUCAUCAGAAGACAAGUGGAACUUGAUGUCUCAUUUUUAGAACUAUCUACACCUCUUAUUUUCCCUCACACAUCGCAAGGGUCCAGAGGGAGUUUUGGAUAAAUGACUUGAGGAACUCAGAAAAAUAGUAUGGCCUUUUGAACAUUUAUCUUGUGCAGCAUCCAUGGAAAUAAAGUCAACGUUUCAAGCCAAAGCCUUCCUCUGCCCUGAAGAAGCGUCUCAGCUCGAUACAUCAACUGUUAGUUUACUUCUACGGGUGUUGCCUGACCUGCUGAGUUUCUCCAGCAUUGUGUGUUUGAUGCUUUGGAUUUCCAGACUCUGCAGACUUUCUCAUGUUUGUAAUUUAUCUUGUGUGUGAGUGUUUUUAACAUAGUACUUCAUCUCUCCACUGCACUUUCCUUUCAACUCACUGCUCAGAAAUAUUGCUAUUUUUAAUCUAAAAUGUUGUUCAUUUUACCUUUUAUGUAAGGAUGUCAGGAUAACUUUUAUGUAAGAAAUACAAAUAUGACUACAUGACAUUUUUGGAAUUUUAAUCUAAUACGCAACUCCAUGGUAGGUUGAUGGUGCUGUGUGGAGCCUAAAUUGAUGGCUCUUGCAUUAUUUAUUUUUCCUAUGUGGUUUUAUUCAGCCAACCAUGAAUUUUACUCAUUUAAGGCACUGAUAUUCAGUGCAAUAUUUCUCAACAUCCUUCAGAAAAAAAUAGUUAAAAACCAAUGGAAUGGUGAACAAAUGAAUUUAAUUUUUCUGUUUCCUUUCAAUAUGCUUUGGAGAGUGACUUGGAAGAUUCAUUUUUUUGUUAAGGCAGCAUCACAAUUGAACUAUUCUAUUUCCGGGU